rnacentral:lncRNA from 1 species
UUUUCUUUCUAGUUGCAUUUAGAGAAAAGUGGACAAAACAAUUCGGGGAAGUAGCAUUUAAGCCCAUCACUCACUGUUGCUUGUGCAAGGGAGUAUCACAUAAAAAGACGACAUUUCCUUCUUUUGGAGUAUCCAUUCCUCACUUGUCACAGCUCUGCAUGGGGAACUUUUAUGAAAAUCUUCUUAUUAUGUUCUUCUUUUGCAGAACGGCUUAAAAGUCGGGAAAGAUUUAACGGUUGAGCAGAGUUUCGAGGACCUAGAAAACAGUUUUGAACCAGGUGAAACCUUCAGUUUCAGUGCAGUUGUGCAACUGCUGGAAUGAAACGAGCCAGGCAGUGUCUUGAUUAUGAUGCUCAGCAUUUUUAGGAGAAUCAAGAAAAUUAUACAUGAAGGGCAUCCAUUUAAAAUGAGGAAAGCAUGAAUCGAAUUUUUUUUCAUAUGAGCGGCUGAGUGGCUCGUGAAUUUUUUGCAAUUUUUCAAGUGAGCAGUCAAGUAUGGGGAAAACACCUGAAGAUGUCAUUUGAGUGGUGAUACGGAACAUUGCGGGGAAGUAGAAUUGCUACCUAUUGGAAAGAUAUUGCUUCUCUUCUCAACUCCUAGGCUUGAUAGAUGGGACAGAGACUGUGAUCCAACGGAUUGUACGUUGAUCAUCGUCAUCAUAAGUACUACCAAAUUUUCAGUGUCAAUGAUACAGGUCUCACACCAAAUUCACAGAGUAGUUGCAUUGAUAAAGCUACAGGCUACAGCCCAAGUUCGCCCCGCUAUUCUCUUUGAGCGAAAACGGAUUUUACCCCUAUCCCAGAUGCAUC